rnacentral:rRNA from 1 species
UGGGUAAUCUACCCUUGAGGCGGGAAUAACCCAGCGAAAGUUGGGCUAAUACCGGAUAAGACCACAAGAGGAAACUCAAGAGGUCAAAGGUAGCUUUCUUUUGGAGGCGAUCCUUCGAGGAGGAGCCCAUGGCCUAUCAGCUAGUUGGUAGGGUAACGGCCUACCAAGGCGAAGACGGGUAGCUGGUCUUAGAGGAUGAUCAGCCACACGGGGACUGAGACACGGCCCCGACUCCUACGGGAGGCAGCAGUGGGGGAAUAUUGGGCAAUGGGGGAAACCCUGACCCAGCGACGCCGCGUGGGUGAUGAAGGCCUUCGGGUCGUAAAGCCCUGUCGGGAGGAAAGAACGAUCUUGCGGUGAAUAUCCGUGAGAUGUGACGGUACCUCCGAAGGAAGCACCGGCCAAUUCCGUGCCAGCAGCCGCGGUAA